rnacentral:rRNA from 1 species
AGUGAACGCUGGCGGUAGGCCUAACACAUGCAAGUCGAACGGCAGCACAGUAAGAGCUUGCUCUUACGGGUGGCGAGUGGCGGACGGGUGAGGAAUACAUCGGAAUCUACUUUUUCGUGGGGGAUAACGUAGGGAAACUUACGCUAAUACCGCAUACGACCUACGGGUGAAAGCAGGGGAUCUUCGGACCUUGCGCGAUUGAAUGAGCCGAUGUCGGAUUAGCUAGUUGGCGGGGUAAAGGCCCACCAAGGCGACGAUCCGUAGCUGGUCUGAGAGGAUGAUCAGGCAAAAUGGAAAUGAGAAAAGGGCCAGAAUGCCAAGGGAGGCAGCAGGGGGGAAUAUUGGAAAAUGGGGGGAAGGAUGAACCAAGCAAACCGAGUGGGUGAAGAAGGCCUUCGGGUUGUAAAGCCCUUUUGUUGGGAAAGAAAAGCAGCAGGUUAAUACCCCGCUGUUCUGACGGUACCCAAAGAAUAAGCACCGGCUAACUUCGUG